rnacentral:rRNA from 1 species
AAUGAACGUUGGCGGCGUGGAUUAGGCAUGCAAGUCGAGCGUGUACCCGCAAGGGGAAAGCGGCAAACGGGGUAGGAACGCGUAGGUCACGUACCCCUCGGCCGGGGAUAGCCACGGGAAACUGUGGGUAAUACCCGAUGACGCCGAGAGGCCAAAGGUGUGAUUCCGCCGGGGGAGCGGCCUGCGUAGUAUUAGCUAGUUGGUGAGGUAACGGCUCACCAAGGCGAAGAUGCUUAGGGGGUGUGAGAGCAUGACCCCCACCACUGGGACUGAGAUACUGCCCAGACACCUACGGGUGGCUGCAGUCGAGAAUCUUCGGCAAUGGGGGCAACCCUGACCGAGCGACGCCGCGUGUGGGAUGAAGGCCCUUGGGUUGUAAACCACUGUCAGAGGGGAUGAAACGAUCAUGGGUUCUCCCAUGGUCCUGACAUAGCCUCAGAGGAAGCACGGGCUAAGUUCGUGCCAGCAGCCGCGGUAAUACGAACUGUGCAAACGUUAUUCGGAAUCACUGGGAC